rnacentral:rRNA from 1 species
GGUAGGCACUCCACUUGGUCAUUUAGAGGAAGUAAAACUCUUAUAAGGUCUCCGUAGGUGAACCUGCGGAGGGAUCAUUACCUUUUAUGAAGGCGGGCUGGAAUCUCUCGGGGUUACAGCCUUGCUGAAUUAUUCACCCUUGUCUUUUGCGUACUUCUUGUUUCCUUGGUGGGUUCGCCCACCACUAGGACAAACAUAAACCUUUUGUAAUUGCAAUCAGCGUCAGUAACAAAUUAAUAAUUACAACUUUCAACAACGGAUCUCUUGGUUCUGGCAUCGAUGAAGAACGCAGCGAAAUGCGAUAAGUAGUGUGAAUUGCAGAAUUCAGUGAAUCAUCGAAUCUUUGAACGCACAUUGCGCCCUUUGGUAUUCCAAAGGGCAUGCCUGUUCGAGCGUCAUUUGUACCCUCAAGCUUUGCUUGGUGUUGGGCGUCUUGUCUCUAGCUUUGCUGGAGACUCGCCUUAAAGUAAUUGGCAGCCGGCCUACUGGUUUCGGAGCGCAGCACAAGUCGCACUCUCUAUCAGCAAAGGUCUAGCAUCCAUUAAGCCUUUUUUCAACUUUUGACCUCGGAUCAGGUAGGGAUACCCGCUGAACUUAAGCAUAUCAAUAAGCGGAGGA